ACUGCAGGACACAUGAACAUCGACAUUUUGAACGCACAUUGCGGUCCUCGGAUACUGUUCCUGGACCACAUCUGGCUGAGGGUCGUA
rnacentral:rRNA from 2 species